rnacentral:rRNA from 1 species
UAUUCUGUAGCAAGGUUAACCGAAUAGGGGAGCCGAAGGGAAACCGAGUCUUAACUGGGCGCUAAGUUGCAGGGUAUAGACCCGAAACCCGGUGAUCUAGCCAUGGGCAGGUUGAAGGUUGGGUAACACUAACUGGAGGACCGAACCGACUAAUGUUGAAAAAUUAGCGGAUGACUUGUGGCUGGGGGUGAAAGGCCAAUCAAACCGGGAGAUAGCUGGUUCUCCCCGAAAGCUAUUUAGGUAGCGCCUCGUGAAUUCAUCUCCGGGGGUAGAGCACUGUUUCGGCAAGGGGGUCAUCCCGACUUACCAACCCGAUGCAAACUGCGAAUACCGGAGAAUGUUAUCACGGGAGACACACGGCGGGUGCUAACGUCCGUCGUGAAGAGGGAAACAACCCAGACCGCCAGCUAAGGUCCCAAAGUCAUGGUUAAGUGGGAAACGAUGUGGGAAGGCCCAGACAGCCAGGAUGUUGGCUUAGAAGCAGCCAUCAUUUAAAGAAAGCGUAAUAGCUCACUGGUCGAGUCGGCCUGCGCGGAAGAUGUAACGGGGCUAAACCAUGCACCGAAGCUGCGGCAGCGACACUAUGUGUUGUUGGGUAGGGGAGCGUUCUGUAAGCCUGUGAAGGUGGCCUGUGAGGGUUGCUGGAGGUAUCAGAAGUGCGAAUGCUGACAUAAGUAACGAUAAAGCGGGUGAAAAGCCCGCUCGCCGGAAGACCAAGGGUUCCUGUCCAACGUUAAUCGGGGCAGGGUGAGUCGACCCCUAAGGCGAGGCCGAAAGGCGUAGUCGAUGGGAAACAGGUUAAUAUUCCUGUACUUGGUGUUACUGCGAAGGGGGGACGGAGAAGGCUAUGUUGGCCGGGCGACGGUUGUCCCGGUUUAAGCGUGUAGGCUGGUUUUCCAGGCAAAUCCGGAAAACCAAGGCUGAGGCGUGAUGACGAGGCACUACGGUGCUGAAGCGACAAAUGCCCUGCUUCCAGGAAAAGCCUCUAAGCAUCAGGUAACAUCAAAUCGUACCCCAAACCGACACAGGUGGUCAGGUAGAGAAUACCAAGGCGCUUGAGAGAACUCGGGUGAAGGAACUAGGCAAAAUGGUGCCGUAACUUCGGGAGAAGGCACGCUGAUAUGUAGGUGAAGCGACUUGCUCGUGGAGCUGAAAUCAGUCGAAGAUACCAGCUGGCUGCAACUGUUUAUUAAAAACACAGCACUGUGCAAACACGAAAGUGGACGUAUACGGUGUGACGCCUGCCCGGUGCCGGAAGGUUAAUUGAUGGGGUUAGCGGCAACGCGAAGCUCUUGAUCGAAGCCCCGGUAAACGGCGGCCGUAACUAUAACGGUCCUAAGGUAGCGAAAUUCCUUGUCGGGUAAGUUCCGACCUGCACGAAUGGCGUAAUGAUGGCCAGGCUGUCUCCACCCGAGACUCAGUGAAAUUGAACUCGCUGUGAAGAUGCAGUGUACCCGCGGCAAGACGGAAAGACCCCGUGAACCUUUACUAUAGCUUGACACUGAACAUUGAGCCUUGAUGUGUAGGAUAGGUGGGAGGCUUUGAAGUGUGGACGCCAGUCUGCAUGGAGCCGACCUUGAAAUACCACCCUUUAAUGU